rnacentral:tRNA from 1 species
GGGGAUAUAGCUCAGCUGGGAGAGCGCUGCGUUCGCAACGCAGAGGUCGGGGGUUCGACUCCCCCUAUCUCCACCA